rnacentral:lncRNA from 10 species
CACGGAUGAACUUCACACAGGCACAGCUGCUGGGGCCAUCUCAGCACAGACCUGGGCAACCACAUCCUCAUCCCUGGGAGACCCCAGGCCUGGUGAGUGGUCCCCUCCUCUGCUCCCACACUUCAGGAUGAUCCACCAACUGCAAAGGACACCCCACUCAAUCCUCAGUGUCUCUCACACACCAUGCUCUUUCUAGCCUCCUGGCCUUUGCACUAGCUGUGAUGAUUUGACAUGCUUCACUUCCUCUCCAAAGCUGUCAUCAAGCUAAGGCCUGCCUGGCCUCAGGUCCUGGCUGUCCCCUGGGUACUUGUGGGCAGAGUGACUUCACUGUCCCUUCCCAAUCCUGGCUUGGCUCCUGGGCUCCACAUGCUCAUCCUUCUUUGCUUACUUUCCGGUUUUCUGCUUGUGCCCACAAUUGUGAGCCCCAUGAAAACAUGAACUUGUGUGUGUCACUUUCCAGCUUCCGCCUAUGAAAGAAAAAGGCAGCCCUGACACCCGUGAGCUGCCCUUUCCCUCUGCCAGGCCACGGCUGCUUGGGGCUGGCCUGGCACAGUCUGGUCUUGGCGUGGUCCAGUUGAACAGACAAUUUCAUGGAACAUCAACAUCAGACUAGGCCAUUUGUCAGUAGGAUGGAUCAAGACAAGAACAAGGCCAGUCUGUGAUCAUGUCUCAGUAAGGAUGAACUCUAACAUUUUCCAAAGCACAAAAAUAACCAAACAUCACCCAUCCAGCUAAUCUGAGUGAUAGCUGCUUCUUUACCAAUGGCAGCUUUGGCCUUGCUCUAGUUGACCUCCCCAAAGAUAAGACUUAGUGAGACGCCCGGUAAUAGGGUUAUCCCUUCUUCCUGACAGCGUCUAAUAAAGAGCAAAACCUUGCUUCCUUAAAUGCUUUCCUAAAACACCAAACACAAGCCCAGUUCCUUAACAAUCUCUUUCUAAAGCCUCUUCCUAAGUCACCCCACAGUCCUCCUGCACUGCAUGGAGCAUAAUUCCAUCCAUUCAAUUUUAGGUGAGUUUCUGGAGGUCGUUGGCCAGAGGACAUUGAUACCCUAAAAUUACAGUGUCCGGAUCAGGGCAAGGAAUUCUUUGCUGAAUGAACAAAUUGGCCCAUUGGUGAGAAAGGUCUGUUCCUAUUCCUAUUCCAAUAGUGGGCUUCCAGAGUGUGCAGUCGACGCGCUGCCCCUCACUGCCUUCUGUCUUCCUUCACGGCCCCUAGUCAACUCCACAGAGAAAGCACACUACCAGGAAUCAGGGACGCAGAAAAAUUCUCUUCAACAGAUUUCAAAAGAGGGUCCAAUUCCUUUGUCGUGAAGAACUUUGCUACUCAAGGGGCGUGAUCAUGGGCCAGCAGCAUCCGCAUCAUUUCUUGUUGGAAAUGCAGAAUCUCUGGCCCUAGCCCAAACCUGUUGAACCCCAAUCUGCCUCUUAGCAAGAUCCCCAAGCAUGGAAACGUGCAAAAGAAGCCCGGCUGGUGAGAAUAUUUUUGUUUUCAUGAAGUUGCAGAGAAAGCAACAUCUUCUAGGGCCAUCUUCCUCACUCACAAACACUCACCUGUCACACCCACGGUGGACACCGGGCCCACACGCCGCCCCUCGUGGAGGCCGUACAGGUGCAUCUUGUAUUUGCGCCCAGGCUCCAGGCCCCCCACGGUGACCUCGCUCUCCUCGCCCCCAACACGCACCACCUGGGG